CCAAUUUUCUAUUUUUUUUCAAUGAGUUACAUGACUAUAAUCCAACAUUUUUGUAAUUUCAACAAAAAACAUUUGAACAUGCAGUAAAUCACUGGAGGUUACCAGGGAAGAAAGGACCUGCAGCCUUGAACAAAGACGGAUUUAGAAAUAUGUUCAGCAAUACCAGUGAAUAGUACAGGAGAAUCUAGGAUAAAGGAAACAGACUGGAAAAUAAACCAUCCUAGAAAGAAAAGUUCAGAGAAUGAGAACCCCUGGACUGUCUCAAAAAAAAGAAAAAAGAAAAAAACAGAAACGCGACAUGCUCUAAAAAGGAAUAUUUAACCUGGAUUAAUUCAUAAAAUAAUAGGAGAAAAUUUUUGCAGCCAGAAUACUAUGAAUUUGAGUUGGUUGAAG
rnacentral:lncRNA from 10 species